rnacentral:rRNA from 1 species
GGAUGCGAUCAAACCAGCACUAAUGCACCGGAUCCCAUCAGAACUCCGCGGUUAAGCGUGCUUGGGCGAGCGUAGUAUUAGGAUGGUGACCUCCCGGGAAGUCUCGUGUUGCAUCCC